rnacentral:rRNA from 1 species
UAAUCUAGCUCUAGGUCGGGGACAACCACUGGAAACUGUGGCUAAUACCGGAUAAGCCGUGAGGUAAAAGAUUUAUUGCCUAGAGAUGAGCUCGCGUCUGAUUAGCUAGUUGCUGUGGUAAGAGCGCACCAAGGCGACGAUCAGUAGCUGGUCUGAGAGGAUGAUCAGCCACGCUGGGACUGAGACACGGCCCAGACUCCUACGGGAGGCAGCAGUGGGGAAUUUUCCGCAAUGGGCGAAAGCCUGACGGACCAAUACCGCGUGAGGGAGGAAGGCUCUUGGGUUGUAAACCUCUUUUCUCAAGGAAUAAGAAAGUGAAGGUACUUGAGGAAUAAGCAUCGGCUAACUCCGUGCCAGCAGCCGCGGAAAUACGGAGGAUGCAAGCGUUAUCCGGAAUGAUUGGGCGUAAAGGGUCCGCAGGUGGCAUUGAAAGUCUGCUGUUAAAGAGUGAGGCUUAACCUCAUAAAAGCAGUGGAAACUACAAAGCUAGAGUGCGUUCGGGGUAACAGGAAUUCCUGGUGUAGCGGUGAAAUGCGUAGAGAUCAGGAAGAACACCGUUGGCGAAAGCGUGCUACUAGGCCGUAACUGACACUGAAGGACGAAAGCUAAGGGAGCG